rnacentral:rRNA from 1 species
UGCCAGCCUCCGCGGUACUCCUGAUUGUGCGAGCGUUAAUCGGAAUCACUGGGCGUAAAGCGCACGUAGGCGGAUCAGAAAGUUAGGGGUGAAAUCCCAGGGCUCAACCCUGGAACUGCCUCUAAAACUCCUGGUCUAGAGUUCGAGAGAGGUGAGUGGAAUUCCGAGUGUAGAGGUGAAAUUCGUAGAUAUUCGGAGGAACACCAGUGGCGAAGGCGGCUUUCUGGACCGAUACUGACGCUGAGACGCGAAAGCGUGGGGAGCAAACAGGAUUAGAUA